GGGGUUGUGGCUCAGUGGUAGAGCGCUUGCCUUGCGCACAUGAAGCACUGGGUUCAAUCCUCAGCACCA
rnacentral:tRNA from 1 species